UUAGUUACAGGGAUAGCCCGAGGAAACUCGGAUUAAUACCUGAUAUUCUUUAUAUUUCGCAUGAAAUUAAAAGGAAAGGUCAGCCGAACUAAGAUGAGCUCGCGUUCUAUCAGCUAGUUGGUGAGGUAAAAGCUCACCAAGGCUACGACGGAUAGCUGGUCUGAGAGGACGAUCAGCCACACUGGGACUGAGACACGGCCCAGACUCCUACGGGAGGCUGCAGCAGGGAAUAUUGCGCAAUGAGCGAAAGCUUGACGCAGCGACACCGCGUGUGGGAUGACGGAUCUAGGUUUGUAAACCACUUUCAGGAGGGAAGAAAAUGACGGUACCUCCACAAGAAGCCCCGGCCAACUACGUGCCAGCAGCCGCGGUAAUACGUAGGGGGCGAGCGUUGUCCGGAUUUAUUGGGCGUAAAGAGCUCGUAGGCGGUUCAACAAGUCGGUCGUGAAAGUUCAGGGCUCAACCCUGAAAUGUCGAUCGAUACUGUUGUGACUAGGAUACGGUAGAGGUGAGUGGAAUUCCGAGUGUAGCGGUGAAAUGCGUAGAUAUUCGGAGGAACACCAAUUGCGAAGGCAGCUCACUGGGCCGCUAUCGACGCUGAGGAGCGAAAGCUAGGGGAGCAAACAGGAUUAGAUACCCUGGUAGUCCUAGCUGUAAACGAUGGAUACUAGACGUAGGAACUGGAUUGACGGUUUCUGUGUCGCAGCUAACGCGUUAAGUAUCCCGCCUGGGGAGUACGGUCGCAAGACUAAAACUCAAAGGAAUUGACGGGACCCCGCACAAGCGGCGGAGCAUGCGGCUUAAUUCGAUGAUACCCG
rnacentral:rRNA from 1 species